CAGCGAGUUGCAUAGGACACUGUAUGACUUUAUUCUAUUUGAAGUUUCAUGGAACAAUGUUGUCCGAGGCAUCAACUACUUGAAUGAGCUUCAGGGGAGACACUACUUGCAAAAACACUAGCUCGAUUUGUGAAUGUGCCCUUUGUCAUCGCUGAUGCAACAACUUUGACACAGGUGCCUCACUUUUCCAACUGUGGGGUAAGAUGGGGCUUUAACUUCUGGGACAAAGACAGUAAACAGAGACUCAAGGUGUGUACAGAUCUCAUAUAAAAG